AUUGAACGCUGGCGGCAUGCCUUACACAUGCAAGUCGAACGGCAGCACGGGAGCAAUCCUGGUGGCGAGUGGCGAACGGGUGAGUAAUAUAUCGGAACGUGCCCAGUCGUGGGGAUAACGUAGCGAAAGCUACGCUAAUACCGCAUACGAUCUAUGGAUGAAAGCGGGGGAUCGCAAGACCUCGCGCGAUUGGAGCGGCCGAUAUCAGAUUAGGUAGUUGGUGAGGUAAAGGCUCACCAAGCCGACGAUCUGUAGCUGGUCUGAGAGGACGACCAGCCACACUGGGACUGAGACACGGCCCAGACUCCUACGGGAGGCAGCAGUGGGAAUUUUGGACAAUGGGCGCAAGCCUGAUCCAGCAAUGCCGCGUGCAGGAUGAAGGCCUUCGGUUGUAACU
rnacentral:rRNA from 1 species